rnacentral:sRNA from 1 species
GCCUGCCGCCCGUGCGCCGCCGAGCCAGCUGCCAGAAUGCCGAACUGGGGAGGAGGCAAGAAAUGUGGGGUGUGUCAGAAGACGGUUUACUUUGCCGAAGAGGUUCAGUGCGAAGGCAACAGCUUCCAUAAAUCCUGCUUCCUGUGCAGUGAGUAUGCCCCAGGCCCUGUUGCUGUUGCCUUGGACACUCUGGAUGGGCCUGCCCCCACAGGCUGGGCCUGUCAACACCCUAGGGAACUGGUCCCAUGGGAUGUAAACAGCUUGACAUUUGGCUGAAGCGCAGCUGGGCAGGGAAGCACUUUAGGGCCUCUGUUCCGUUCAGAAGCUUCUUUCUAAGGGAUGAACUGGCCAGAGCGGGUCGGGGUGGCAGGCGUUCAGGGGCUGAAAGCCAAGCUGUAAAGACUUGGUUAAGAAAACUUUCCACUCAGCUCUCUCUUCUCUCUCUCCCUGCCAUGAUUUCACCAUUUCAGAGGAAAACACUUUCAGCCCUUUGCACCCUAAUUAUCUCUUGUUCAAAGGCAACAGAGGCCACAACCCCAUGGUGAAGCUGAGUCUGGAGGAAGAGUGGGACUCCUCCUUCCUCAGCCCCUUGCAGGCCGGCCCGUUCAAUUCUUCACUUCCCAUUCCCACUCAGCCUGGGAUGAGAGGAAGAGGGAGUGCAAAGUUCCCUGGUAUCUACUCCUAAGAAGCCAGAGCAAGAUUUGCUCUAGUCACAAGCCUAGAUGAGUAAGAAAUCAGA